ACAUCAAUAAAAAUGGUGAAGUGGACAUCAUAGGCUUUAUUCAGCUCCAAGUCAAAAUGUGAAACAGCAACUCACAUUGCUGACAGAGGGAUCUAUGAAAGAGCAACACCAAAAGCAUCACAAUGUGACAAAUGUGAAGAUAAAACUAUACUACACUAAAUGAUAAUUCUAAAUUAAAUAUAGCCAAUUUAAAAGGUAUAAUUAGUUCAUUUAAAAAGUGACAAGUGGGCAGCCAAUUUAUAUAGCUAGUGUAACUGUAGGGAGUUGUAUGAAGUUGUAUGUUAAAGUAAUUCAACGGGGAGAGCUGUGCAGGAUGGCCAGCAGGAGACAGACCCGUCACAAAGCAUUAAUCAGAGAAAGCUAAUGGCUUCUCUCUUUCUACUAUUUUAAUGGAACAUCUUCCCUGAAAGUCUUAGUGGGCUUAUUACUUCUUUUUUCCUUUAGGAACUUAUGAGUCCCAUUUAAACAUUAAUUCAUGGAUUAAUCUUCUACAUUCCAGUUCAUGAUGACAGGAAUACAAUCAGAAGUGAACUUCGUAAAAAAAAAAAAAAACAGAUACAAUACAAGAGCUGAAAUUACCCCAAAAUUUUACUGAGGCCACACUUGUAUUUGAAUAUGUAUAAGUAUACAAAUAAAUGAAUCAUCAGACCAAGAUGAAUCAAAUUAGAUUUUGAUCCCUUUUACUGUUUUUUUCAGCAAGUUGAAAAGAGGAGAGGCAAAGCAAAUGGAGACAGUCAGAAACACAUAAGCCACUAAUACUUCUAAACACCUAACGAAGAGGACAAACACAUAGUUUUCAUAUUUCAUGACCAACCCAUAAAUAAAUAUUUUAAAUAUUAGCAAAAUACCACUAAACAUAGAAACAUUGAGACUAAUCACUGGAUUCCACUUAAGCUGCUAACAAUGAAACUGACAAGAAAGCUGAAUGGAGACCCACCACAUCUUAUCUCAUCUAGUUUACUUUAUCAUAGAUAUAUGUAUACUUUAAAUGUGGCAACACUCAUAAUUAAAACUCAAAUAAUUGGGGGGAAUUGGCCAAAGCCGUCAAUUUAAAAAUAUCCUAAAAUCUCAUCAGUUACUAUUUUCGUAAAGACGUAGUCUUCCUCUGCAUAGACGCAUUUUUAGACUGAAAACAAACAUCACUAAAUCCAGGGGCAUGACUGUCAUCCCUCCUGAUUCUUUACCCAACCUCAUCCCCUUACUUUGGGUGACCAGUUUACACAGUCAUUUUCACAGGUUUCACUGGAGUUGCAGCCAAUUAAACUUGCAGUAUCAUGUCUUUGUCCAACGCAUAGUCUAUUAUACGUUUUCCUGUAGCCUAAUUCAUCUGUAAACUAAACUACUGGAUCAGAUUUUUUUUUUUGUGAAGCCAGCACAUUUAAGUGUUUAACUUUGGUAGUUUGUUGUCUUUGGUAGAUGUAACUGACUAACCACUAUAUACUUUAUUGCAAUAAUGAAAAACUACCGCCGUGCCACAUGAAACGUACAAACGCCGUUUCUUGUCUUGCCGGAUGGAAAAUGAUGCGCAGCCACGGAAUCAGUGUUCAGCAGGUAACCGCAAACAGAAACGCUGAGGAGAGUUCGGUUUGUUGUUGGUCUUUGUUUGUUUUUAUCGUCACAAACCCACUGGUUUAUUGUGACACAGUGAGAUCUACAGUCAGGCUUCAGAAUCUGAGAUUUUUUCCUCGAACACUUGUUAUCGCAGAUUAGUAAACGUUCCUUACUGCGGGUUCCAUGAAUUUAAGGCUGUAGACAGCGACCAGGAUUGCAAAUCUCCAAGAAGUAAGGAAGUCCUGCUGCUCCUGGUGCCUCCUCUUUCUCCAGCGACGUUCUCUUCUCCUCGGUGACGGGGAGAGAUCCUUCAAUGUUCCCUGUGACACUACAUGCUCCUCCUUCACUCUUCAAGCCUGCCACCACACCUUUACCUCUGCCUUAACUUGUCAGUCUGUCUCACACACACCGACACCUGCCAAGAAUGUACCGUUGGAACAGUGUAUGAAAACUGUUGACAGAGAUAAUUUGACAUGUUCAUAGAAAGACUCCUGACGUCAUGUGGGUGGCGAUGGAAGUGGUUGACACUUAAAACUACACAGCCGCGCUAUGUGAUCCACACUGUCUUGGACACCUGGUGGCGCUGUUACACCUGAUAGACACUGCUCAUGUAAAGAAUGACAACAAUUUGAUGUCAGUUUGAGGAACCGGCACCACGGAAGGUUAAUAAAGUUGAAAGUAGAGAUGAAUGGAUCUGUUGAUCCGUUGAGAAAAGAGCACACAACUUGUUUUACAUAGAGGCUCUCUGGGUUGUAGAUUAUGUAGUGAACUAGCUAUAUCUGGUUGACUUGUGAAAAUCAGGAAAAUUGAUUUAGCAAUGAAUCUUUCAUAAUUCGUGUUUAGAUGAUUGCACAAACACUGUUACUCAUCUACUCUGCAUAAAGAGUUUUGUUACAAUCCUUUGAAAUCCAUAAAAGGGAUGAAAGUUUGGUUAUUAUAGAAUGAUUUUCAAAGAUAAAACCUGUUGCCAAACACCAAGUGCAUUUAUUUUUGUGUUUCUUAUGCAGGAUGUGUGUUCUUUUUGUCUGCUCUUCUGGAUGGUUUCUCUGCUUGUCCAAUGUCACUGCUAUCUCCAUAUGCUUUAUAUAAAGUUUAUUAAAAAAAAGGUGAAGGCAUUCCCAACAGCCUUUCAAAUUGGGCUGGUCGCAUGUCUUUGUACAGCUCUAAACUAUACUUUACUUAGAAAUGAAACACUUUUAUUCAUGUAUUUUCUAUACCAGCGUAAUCCUUGCAGGGGUUUAUCCGCAUGCAAUCAGUUGUACUCCCUGGACAGUUUCCCAGUCCAAAUAAAUACAUAUUUCACUGA